GGGACACGUGGUAUCCUGUCUGAAUAUGGGGGGACCAUCCUCCAAGGCUAAAUACUCCUGACUGACCGAUAGUGAACCAGUACCGUGAGGGAAAGGCGAAAAGAACCCCGGCGAGGGGAGUGAAAAAGAACCUGAAACCGUGUACGUACAAGCAGUAGGAGCCCACUUGUUGGGUGACUGCGUACCUUUUGUAUAAUGGGUCAGCGACUUAUAUUCUGUAGCAAGGUUAACCGUAUAGGGGAGCCGCAGGGAAACCGAGUCUUAACUGGGCGUUAAGUUGCAGGGUAUAGACCCGAAACCCGGUGAUCUAGCCAUGGGCAGGUUGAAGGUUGGGUAACACUAACUGGAGGACCGAACCGACUAAUGUUGAAAAAUUAGCGGAUGACUUGUGGCUGGGGGUGAAAGGCCAAUCAAACCGGGAGAUAGCUGGUUCUCCCCGAAAGCUAUUUAGGUAGCGCCUCGUGAACUCAUCUUCGGGGGUAGAGCACUGUUUCGGCUAGGGGGUCAUCCCGACUUACCAACCCGAUGCAAACUACGAAUACCGAAGAAUGUUAUCACGGGAGACACACGGCGGGUGCUAACGUCCGUCGUGAAGAGGGAAACAACCCAGACCGCCAGCUAAGGUCCCAAAGUCAUGGUUAAGUGGGAAACGAUGUGGGAAGGCCCAGACAGCCAGGAUGUUGGCUUAGAAGCAGCCAUCAUUUAAAGAAAGCGUAAUAGCUCACUGGUCGAGUCGGCCUGCGCGGAAGAUGUAACGGGGCUAAACCAUGCACCGAAGCUGCGGCAGCGACACUAUGUGUUGUUGGGUAGGGGAGCG
rnacentral:rRNA from 1 species